AACGCGAAGAACCUUACCCAGGUUUGAAAAUAGGAGAUGAUAACAGAGAUGUUAUUUCCCGCAAGGGCUGCUAUUUAGGUGCUGCAUGGCUGUCGUCAGCUCGUGCCGUGAGGUGUUGGGUUAAGUCCCGCAACGAGCGCAACCCUUAUCAUUAGUUGCCAACACGCAAGGUGGGAACUCUAAUGAGACUGCCCAGGUUAACUGGGAGGAAGGUGAGGAUGACGUCAAGUCCGCAUGGCCUUUAUGUCUGGGGCUACACACGUUCUACAAUGGCCGGUACAGAAGGCAGCUAAGCCGCAAGGUAGAGCAAAUCCGUAAAGCCGGUCUCAGUUCGGAUUGUGGUCUGCAACUCGACCACAUGAAGCUGGAAUUGCUAGUAAUGACGUGUCAGCAACAACGUCGUGAAUACGUUCCCGGGCCUUGUACACACCGGAGUA
rnacentral:rRNA from 1 species